GGGGAUGUGGCUCAAGUGGUAGAGCGCUCGCCUAGCUUGCGCGGGGCACUGGGUUCAAUCCUCAGCACCACA
rnacentral:tRNA from 1 species